rnacentral:rRNA from 1 species
GACGAACGCUGGCGGCGUGCCUAAUACAUGCAAGUUGAGCGAUGAAGAUUGGUGCUUGCACCAAUUUGAAGAGCAGCGAACGGGUGAGUAACGCGUGGGGAAUCUGCCUUUGAGCGGGGGACAACAUUUGGAAACGAAUGCUAAUACCGCAUAACAACUUUAAACAUAAGUUUUAAGUUUGAAAGAUGCAAUUGCAUCACUCAAAGAUGAUCCCGCGUUGUAUUAGCUAGUUGGUGAGGUAAAGGCUCACCAAGGCGAUGAUACAUAGCCGACCUGAGAGGGUGAUCGGCCACAUUGGGACUGAGACACGGCCCAAACGCCUACGGGAGGCAGCAGUAGGGAAUCUUCGGCAAUGGACGAAAGUCUGACCGAGCAACGCCGCGUGAGUGAAGAAGGUUUUCGGAUCGUAAAACUCUGUUGGUAGAGAAGAACGUUGGUGAGAGUGGAAAGCUCAUCAAGUGACGGUAACUACCCAGAAAGGGACGGCUAACUACGUG